rnacentral:rRNA from 1 species
CCCUUAGAUGUUCUGGGCCGCGCGCGCGCUACAAUGAUGAAUUCAACGAGUUUAUAACCUUGGUUGAAAAGCCUGGGUAAUCUUUUGAACUUUCGUCGUGAUGGGGCUAGACCCUUGCAAUUAUUGGUCUCCAACGAGGAAUUCCUAGUAAACGCAAGUCAUCAGCUUGCAUUGAUUACGUCCCUGCCCUUUGUACACACCGCCCGUCGCACCUACCGAUUGAAUGGUCCGGUGAAAUCUUCGGAUUGAGACUUUGAUUUCUUCACGGAAAACGCUGUUUUAAAAAGUUGAUUAAACCUUACCAUUUAGAGGAAGGUGAAGUCGUAACA